GACGAACCGUGCGAACGUUGUUCGGAAUCACUGGGCUUAAAGGGCGCGUAGGCGGGCUGUCAAGUCCGGGGUGAAAUCCUCCCGCUCAACGGGAGAACGGCCUCGGAUACUGAUGGUCUCGAGGAGGAUAGGGGCACACGGAACUGUGGGUGGAGCGGUGAAAUGCGUUGAUAUCCAUAGGAACUCCGGUGGCGAAAGCGGUGUGCUGGAUCCUUUCUGACGCUGAUGCGCGAAAGCCAGGGGAGCAAACAGG
rnacentral:rRNA from 1 species